rnacentral:rRNA from 1 species
UACGAAGGGGGCUAGCGUUGUUCGGAAUCACUGGGCGUAAAGGGCGCGUAGGCGGCUGUUCAAGUCGGGGGUGAAAUCCCGUGGCUCAACCACGGAAUGGCCUUCGAUACUGGACGGCUGGAGACCGGAAGAGGUGAGUGGAACUGCGAGUGUAGAGGUGAAAUUCGUAGAUAUUCGCAAGAACACCAGUGGCGAAGGCGGGUCUCUGGACAGUUCCUGACGCUGAGGCACGAAGGUCAGGGGAGCAAACGGG